UGCGCGGCGGCGGGGCCGGGCCGGGGCCAUGGAGCGCUGGACCGGGCGCGUCGCGCUGGUCACCGGUGCCUCCGUGGGUAUCGGCGCUGCCGUGGCGCGGGCGUUGGUGCAGCAUGGCAUGAAGGUGGUGGGGUGCGCUCGCAGCGUCGACAAGAUCGAGAAACUAGCAGCUGAAUGCCAGAGUGCUGGCUACCCUGGAACCCUCAUCCCAUACAAGUGUGAUCUCUCCAACGAAGAGGAGAUCCUGUCAAUGUUCUCUGCCAUCAAGACCCUUCACCAGGGAGUUGAUGUGUGCAUCAACAACGCAGGGCUGGCUCGCCCAGAGCCCCUACUCUCGGGGAAGACGGAGGGCUGGCGAACGAUGAUAGAUGUCAAUGUGAUGGCUGUAAGCAUCUGCACCCGAGAGGCCUACCAGUCCAUGAAAGAGAGGAACAUUGAUGAUGGGCAUAUUAUUAACAUUAACAGCAUGAAUGGCCACAGUGUUGUGCCACAGUCGGUGGUACAUUUCUACAGUGCCACCAAAUACGCAGUUACAGCCCUCACAGAGGGGCUGAGGCAAGAACUCAGAGAAGCAAAGACUCAUAUACGAGCUACAUGUAUCUCCCCAGGACUGGUGGAAACAGGGUUUGCUUUUAAACUUCAUGACAGUGACCCCGAGAGAGCUGCUGCAACCUACGAGAGCAUUCGGUGUCUCAAAGCUGAAGAUAUGGCUAAUGCUGUCAUAUAUGUCCUCAGUGCCCCACCUCAUGUACAGAUUGGAGAUAUACAGAUGAGGCCCACAGAACAAAUAUCAUAGCAGAUGAAGAGGACUGUGAGCAGCACCGUGUAUCCACUCCACUUCGAACCCUCUGGCAAUUCAGGGUUCCAUCAGCUGGCUGGCAACAUUUUAAUGAAGUACCAAGGAUAAUGUUUGAAGAAUUGUUUUUCUCUCCCUCUCUCUGAGUUGGUGCUGGUGCUGAGCCAGUGUAUGAACAACCAGUAGUGGGUCUCUUGUGCCCCACUCCUUUCUGACACUGUUCUAAGAGUAAAAUGUGUUUGCAAAUAAUGCAGGGAAGUGGUUUGUGGAAGAUUGUUGUCUCCAGGCUGGUUUAUUCUUCCUUUUGCUUUCUUUAUAAGGUUUGUUUGAUGUUAUUUGCUGAUGCUGUGUCUGGACACAGGGGAAGUGGCACAAGGUGUUUGCCAGCUUCAGUGUGCUUAGGGUUUGAGAUGUCACACGUGCAUCCAUCUAAUUUUGGGGUUUAUUUUCAUCAGAUUGAUUACUGAUGGUAAUGAUGCAUGUGAUAUUUUCUACUUCUUACUCCACUGCCCUAAACCCAAUGUACAAUCUCACCCGCCUCCCCAGGCCCUCCUUUCUCAUUCACAUGGAUCAUGCCUGCUGAGUUUGAGGAAGUAUAAAUGUGUGUGCUUGCUAUUUCUCUUUCUUUCUAGGUAGGUAGGUAAAUAGUUGGAGGAUGAGCACCUGUACUUCUGCAGGUUAGAAUGAUAAUCUAAGUGGUAUAGUUACAGUAAGAGUGAGUUGUUUGGUAAUUCAAAUAAAAACUAAAUGUGUGCUGUCUUGUGAUCACCUCUAUCCUUGGUAUCAUCUCCCAGCACUCUUGAUGUUUCUGUAUGUGAUACUUGCAUGCAUUGACACUUUUCUGGAAAUAUUGAUGGGUCUUAGAAAGAUGCUUAAAUGCUGGUUCUGUUUAAAUGCUGGUGAGCUGGGAAUGUUGAAAGUGCUUAUAUGCAGAGAUACACACUUGGAGAGAGUGAGAGUGAAAUGAACCAUGCCAAAGCUGUCCAAAAGGAAAAGAUUUGCCUGCAAAGUAGCAGGUGAAAGGUCUGGUUCAGAUGUUAUAUUAGUUCUACACUGGUGCAGCCCCAUUGUUUUGCUCUGGAUUUAUUCUAGGUUGAGGGAGAAGAGAAUCAGUCUCAAAGCAGAUACGUGCAGAGCUGGAGACCACUUGAGUUGUCUUAAGAUUCUUGGAGUGUGGCAGAAACACAUCUGUGUGUAGUCCAACUCGUUGUGGAGCUGUUAAUGUACGUGUUGCCUUAAGGUUGCAGACUUGCUCCUGCUGUCUCUGGACUUCCUGUAAUGUUUUGAAAGGCAAAAGUUGGUUUAGGUGGAGUAGGAAUGGUCAGUUGGAGUGGAGGAUUGAGAGCCAGAGAAACUUGGGCUGGAUUUGCUUAUACCAGUGGGAGUUCAUCUGUGUUCCAUCACCAUAAGGGAGACUAAAAUUGGGCCACUACGACAUGAAUUUCAACUCCCUAUACAGCCUUGGGCAAGUCACUUUACCUCUCUGCCUCAGUUUCCCCAUCUGUAAAAUGGGGAUAAUAAUACUUACCUACCUCACAGGGGUGUUGUGAGGACUCACAGACUUUUGUAAAGCACUUUGAGAAGCGCUGUGUAAGUGCUGAGUGUUGAGAUGAAGUAUUAUUAUUAAUGAAAACUUGUGAUACUUAGAAAUCCUUGUGCCAAAGGUGAGCAACUGUAGGAUACAAGGAGACAACUGAUAACAUUUACCUUGUAAUGCCAAAACAAAGGCAGUUUGCCCCUUUUUUUCCUCUUUAUAUAAAUACAUGCUCACGCUGUGUUCUGUUCAUUCCUCCUCUGUCCCCAGUUUCUUCUGGCAAGUACUUGUAGCCUCAUCUCUGGAGUUGUCGUUUUCAUUUACUGUGAGUGAAAUUCGUGCCCCAUGAGGUCUUGCACGCCUGUAAUGCACUGCCCUUCUUCACCUUGCUGAGGUGAUGGCUUUGUGUUGGGUUCUUCGCUCAGAGCUGGGUUUCAGCCAUGGCAUUGGAUUAGAUCAUGUCCUGCAAGGAACAGUCAGCCCUGGUCUGCGUGCAGCCAGCAAUCCCUUUUGCCAGCUGGAAAAGCUCUUCUGUCUCCAAGCCACUGUGAUCCUCCAUUCAGAGGCACUUGGCUAAGGAAGGUUCAGUCUCUGCUGUGCUUUUUGUAACACCCCUGUGAUGUUCAGCCAAACUUGAUAUGAAAACUGGUGUUUUUCAUAGUGUCUCUUGCAGGAGCUUGUUGAAGUGCAGUAGAUGUGCUGUGCAGUGUGUGCCAUCUUUUUAAGAGAAGGUGAUUGAACUGGGAAUUCAGAAAGAGUUGAGAAAUUAAGCUAAACCUUUUGUGAACAGUUCAGAGAGAAAUGUGAGGGUUUGGCUCUUCAUAGUUGCUUUCCAGAGCACAACAGCAUCCAGUUGUCUCACUUCAUAACCUGUGGAGUUUGGAUUUGCCCAUCCUUGUUCCAGUGAAGUCACUGAAAUCCUCAGCAUGUCCAAGUGCAGAGCCACAUUCCUGAGCUCAGGUUUACAGUCACUGAAAUCCAUAGUUUUUGCCAGUAAGUCAUGAACAGCUGCAUCAGCAAACAUUAUCUGUCAGAUUGGGAUGAGGUGAGUAGUCUCAGCUCUUUUUUGGGGGGAAGGAGCCAUGAGCAGAGCUGGCCCUGGUAAGGGGCAGGAAAACCAUAAUUUUACUUAAGAUCUUUGAACCUGUAAAGGCAAUUUCAUGGUAUUUUUUGAGGCCUGAUGUAACUUAAUACUUCGGAGUAAUGGUAUAGAAAAGGAAUGAAAAACACUGGCUUCUCUAUGCAAAAUCCUUCUGCAAUCACAUAAUUGUGGUUUAUCCCCCAUGGUCCGUACAGGUGUUUUCCUGUAGGAUAAACCCUUGGAAUCCCUAAACCUAUUGCUGUGAAUGAGUUGUUUCCUUGUUUGCCUGCCCUUUGUCUACCCAUUUAUGAAAUAAAGAUGGAUAUAAAAUAGCACAUAAUUAGAAGAGCAGCAUUUUGGUUUGGAGUUAAAGGUUAGGAGUGAGUUGGGUUAGGCAUGCUGGACACGCUUGGAGCCCUUCCUCAAUCUCCCCUCUUUUUGUCAUUGUGGGGUUUACAGCCUCUCUUAGCACAUACCACCUUUGGGAAUGGGGUCAGAGAGAAAGCAGCCCAUUGCUGCCCUUGCUAAUGGAAUGACCUUGCUAAUGGAAUGGCUGUGGCCGGGAGCAGACACCCCGGUUCCCGGUGGAUGCCGGG